GCGCACCCCGUGCGGGCUCCGGGUGGUGCGUCCCGCAGCGGGCCCGAGCCUCGAAGCGCGCGGCACCACAGCUGCGUCCUCCCGGAGUUGUGCCUCCCGAGCGCGCUGGCGGACGUGUGAGAGAGAAAGCAGGCAGAGCGGCGCUUUGGGAGAGGAGGGGGGCCGGCUGGAGGGAGGCUCGGCGGAGCUCCCGCCAGGGCCGUGGUGUGCUUGCACGUCACUGCUACUCAAAACCAAGCACGUCCCGAAAGCAGUAGUUGCUUCGUCUGGGAGGUUUUUACAUCCUCAGUUCCCACCGCUGGGGUUGGCGGCGACCAACUCGCGGACCUGUCGCUGGCCAAGAGCUGUCGUUUCAGCACUAGGGUUCAGACAAAUUGAACGUCAACAGCCGAGGGGGCUCAUCGCUGCUCCCGAACCGCUGUGUGUCUCCGGGCGGAACAAUACUAGUUUUUCUCCGCGAGACUGCAAUUAACAUCUUAUUUGUUCUGGCUAGAUACAGGCUUUGUCAGGACCGAGGUGCGGCGACUGAGGUUGGGCAUCUUGCAUUGCUUUCUGCAUGGUAAUGGGAUUGUGGUUGUGGGGUCUAAACUUUGGUUUGCUGAAUGUAUCUGAUUCUUUUUCAAGUUUCCUUAGUAACAGGUUUAUAGACUAGGUGGGAAGAAACAAGGGAAGGCGGGUGGGGCGCGUAGGGAGAAGCUACCAGAUUCUCAAUUUAGCAGGAGGAAAAAAAAAAGAUAAAUUUUCACCACUCCUCACAUUUAUUUAUUUACUUUUGGCCUCCUGGACAGUUAGUUGGCUGACAAAUACUUGAUAAACUAGCCUCAGAGACAUGGUGAAAAGGUCAUUCGUCUACUGAUUAUGUCUCUACUUGUGAACGCAGUUGGUAGUUUGCAAAACAAGUACUAAAUGGUGCGGGUGAUGUGGUGGGAGGAGACCAUAAUGAGUAAUUCAUAUAGUAUUGGAGUUUUCUUAAGGAUGAGUGGCGUGAGUGGCAGGUGAAGUUCAAUAAAACAGUUUUCC